UUUAAAUGUCAGUGUCUCAAAGGUCUUCCUUGGUUUUCCUUAAAUUUUACCUUUAAUGAUCGGAGAAUUUUGUAGUACACCUCUUAUUUGUAUAAGCAGACUAGUGAUAUCGGAAGAACGCAAGCCAUGAGUACGUCAACAACUCAGAGAACCAGGAACAGCAACAGAUUACGUGACGAAAGAGAGACUGAUGAAACACGUCGUCUUCUUGACCAACCCGUUAGCCC